rnacentral:tRNA from 1 species
CGAAAUCGGUAGACGCUACGGACUUAAAAUCCGUCGACUUUCGAGAUCGUGAGGGUUCAARUCCCUCUAUCCCCC